rnacentral:lncRNA from 1 species
UUAUAAAUUAUGGACUCUACUCUUUUGAUCAAGUCAAUCAUGUGUGUCAGUUUCCUUCCAUCGAGUCCUGAGGGUACUUGUACCCGAAAACUAUAGCGGUGUGCCUAGAUCCAUGUCAUGUUUCACGAUAUCCGAACUCAAGCUAUGAUUCCAUAGACUUCAGUCAGUCAUAUGACUCAGGAAAACCUCAUGAUCUUAGUCAGUUGUCAGAUAUCAGUAAUAUUUUGCCAGUCAACGGAAUUCAGUAAGAUUAAGUCAUGCAUGGUUAGUUAUUC